GAUGUCAAGCUUCCAAGAAAAGCCCUAUACCCGUUAAGGCAUGAUGGCCUGUACCCGAAACCGACACAGGUGGGGUGGUAGAGAAUACCGAGGGGCGCGAGAUAACUCUCUCUAAGGAACUCGGCAAAAUGGCCCCGUAACUUCGGGAGAAGGGGUGCCACCGCAAGGUGGUCGCAGUGAAGAGGCCCAGGCGACUGUUUACCAAAAACACAGGUCUCCGCUAAGUCGCAAGACGAUGUAUGGGGGCUGACGCCUGCCCAGUGCCGGAAGGUUAAGGAAGCUGGUCAGCGUAAGCGAAGCUAGCGACUGAAGCCCCGGUGAACGGCGGCCGUAACGAUAACGGUCCUAAGGUAGCGAAAUUCCUUGUCGGGUAAGUUCCGACCCGCACGAAAGGCGUAACGAUCUGGGCGCUGUCUCGGAGAGAGGCUCGGCGAAAUAGAAUUGUCUGUGAAGAUGCGGACUACGUGCACCCGGACAGAAAGACCCUAUGAAGCUUUACUGUAGCUUGGUAUUGUGCUCGGGCUCGGAAUGCGCAGGAUAGGUGGGAGGCUAUGAACCAUUGCUUGUGGGUGAUGGUGAGCCACUGGUGAGAUACCACUCUUUCCGAGCUAGAGUUCUAACAGCCACCCGUUAUCCGGGGGCUGGACAGUAUCAGGUGGGCAGUUUGACUGGGGCGGUCGCCUCCUAAAAGGUAACGGAGGCGCGCAAAGGUUUGCUCAGGCUGGUUGGAAAUCAGCCGACGAGUGUAAAAGCAGAAGCAAGCUUGACUGUGAGACCUACAAGUCGAACAGGGAGGAAACUCGGCUUUAGUGAUCCGACGGUUCUGCGUGGAAGGGCCGUCGCUCAACGGAUAAAAGUUACUCUAAGGAUAACAGGCUGAUCUCCCCCAAGAGUUCACAUCGACGGGGAGGUUUGGCACCUCGAUGUCGGCUCAUCGCAACCUGGGGCUGAAGUCGGUCCCAAGGGUUUGGCUGUUCGCCCAUUAAAGCGGUACGCGAGCUGGGUUCAGAACGUCGUGAGACAGUUCGGUCCAUAUCCGGUGCAUGCGCAGGAAUAUUGAGAGGAUUUCUCCCUAGUACGAGAGGACCGGGAGGAACGCACCUCUGGUGUACCAGUUAUCGUGCCAACGGUAAACGCUGGGUAGCCAUGUGCGGAGAGGAUAACCGCUGAAAGCAUCUAAGUGGGAAGCCCACCUCAAGAUGAGUAUUCCCAUGGGGUAACCCAGUAAGGUCACGGGAAGAACACCCGUUGAUAGGCUCUACGUGGAAGCGCAGUAAUGUGUGAAGCGGAGGGGUACUAAUAGACCGAGGGCUUGA
rnacentral:rRNA from 1 species